rnacentral:misc_RNA from 1 species
AAGUCGUAACAAGGUUUCCGUAGGUGAACCUGCGGAAGGAUCAUUAACACGUAUCCAACGUUAAACCCCCCUGUGAACUUUUAUACUUGCUCUCGUGGCUACCGGAAUUGCAAUCCCUGGUAAAUCAUUGUUAGUUUCGAUCGAGCGAUCGUUGCAAGUGGCCUGGUUUCCCCAAGCAGUCAGUGUCUGAAAGUGUCAUUGAUUGUGUAAGGAUAACGCUUUUCGAUCACUAGAGGCCGACACCGGCCGGUGACCAGGUCGCCGUGGCUUCGGCCCCCUAUAUUCACCCCACUACCAAAUUUCGCCUCGUAGGAAACUGCUGGGCAACAAAACGAACAACUGUUAACAAUGGAUAUCUUGGUUCUC